rnacentral:rRNA from 1 species
UACAGAGGUCUCAAGCGUUUGUUCGGAUUCAUUGGGCGUAAAGGGUGCGUAGGUGGCGCGGAAAGUCGGGUGUGAAAUUUCGGAGCUUAACUCCGAAACUGCAUUCGAUACUUCCGUGCUUGAGGACUGGAGAGGAGACUGGAAUUUACGGUGUAGCAGUGAAAUGCGUAGAGAUCGUAAGGAAGACCAGUGGGGAAGGCGGAUCUCUGGACAGUUCCUGACACUGAGGCACGAAGGCCAGGGGAGCAAACGGG